rnacentral:lncRNA from 1 species
ACAUGUCAGGUGCCUUCACUGAGACAGACUAGGGAACAACUUAUAGUCUCAAACACGUGCUUUCGUUUCUUAAUCUAUUAUUAGUCGGAGCUCAUUUGGGUUUCACUUUAUUAGGGCCCCCCACCCCACAAACACAAAGCGUUGUAAGGUAUACAUUUAGAGAACUUUUAGAACAUCUUUGGUACGCAAUACAAUAGACUAGAUUUAACAUUUUUUUUCUUCCUUAAUAGUGCCUAGUAUUGUAUAGUCCACCUUACAAACAAAUUCUUAUGGUAUACAGCAUUUAUAGAGGCUAGAACUGGGAUAACUUUGGAAUAUAACACGUAUUAUCUAAUAAAUUUUUCUAAGAAAUUCGGAAGAAAAUCUGUUUUCAUGAAGUGCAGAGGUUCAAAUUCAUGAAAUAAAAAUGCAGAAUUUAGUAGAAAACUAGGGGAAGGGAAAAAUGUAAUUUAAGGAAAGACAAGAAGAGAAUCUAUGCAAUCAUAUCUAGACCUUCAGAUGAACUAAAAUGUCCAAUGAUCCAUAAAAAAUUUCCUUAUCCCCAAGAACAGAUCCAGUAGACAUGGAGAGGGGGCGAUUCUUUCACCAUUUGGAGUGUUAGUUUGCCAACUAAAAAAAUCACCUGCCUCAAUUGGUCAAAUUUGCAAACAUCUCCAAAUGAGUAUCAGUUGUUGCGACACUUAAGUAACCCACGCCCAUGCACAAACUAAACUCCCACUAAUGACCCAUGCAUCUUCAACUCAUGAACAUAGCUGAUAUUAAGCUACAUGGCAGCACCCAAUUUUUCCAUAUUCAAUCAAGUGAUUUCCUCUGAUUAAAAGGAACAUAACAAGAUUUUUUUAUUUUAUUAUUUUUUGCCAUCAGAAAAAGAAGCCCAUUGGUUAAAUUUUGAAAUUCUUUUCGGAAUAGCCAAUAUUCUAGAUUUGAAAUCGACUUGCUAUAAGAAUUGUUCAAAACUACAACUUAGGCAAUUAUCGUAACAACUAAAAUGGAGGAUGCUCCAGAAUCUUUUCGAUUGCUUGUUCGAGAAUUGCAAUUCCAUAGUUCUUUUUCAAAUUGUAUGUAAAAAGCUUAAAACGUAAAACAAACUUAAUCUUCAGCAUGGAAUAAGGGGUGCGGAGGAAGCUAUACCUGCUUCAAGGAAAGAGCUGCAGUGAUGGAACCACCUUGGCGACCAUCGGUGUUCACCAUAUCAGCCACUCCAGAUUUCAUGGACUCCCAAUAACUUUCCUCCAGGGGCAUCCACCAAAGUUUUUCCCCACUAACCUCUGAAGCUGCAAAUACCUCAUUUGCCAGGUCAUCACUGGGUGUAAAAACACCUGAUUUUUUAUAUCAAGAAUAAGCCAGUGCAAGGAUCUUCACAACGAAUCUCCAUGUUAAGAACAUUUUAUGAAUUUCAAAUUGAAAAGAAGCCAAAAAAUCUAUUGGAUCGGAGGUGGUUCUCAAAGAAUACAGGACAAAUAAGAUUUAUAAAUUACAUACCAGCAAUAGAGGGCCCAAGAGCAACAAACAAGCCCCAGUCAAUGUGGCCAAAUCAACGAUCUGCAAAUGAUUAAAAACACAUAUCAAAAUCCAAAGUGAACCCUAAAAUUUUAGUGUCAUGACUUAUUCAAAGGUUUUAAAUUUGUGUAUCAUAUAUCUCGUGCGUUUUAGGUACUCGUUCCAGAAAACGAAAUACAUGGACAACUGAUGAGAGAAUAAAACCCAUAAAAAUGGUGUUUUCCAAAGAGAUGCAAAAGUAAAGGCAUGUAAGUGUACUUUAUCCACUCCUUGGUUGCAAGCAUAUACCAAAGCAUCUGCAACUGUAAGUCUUUCUUCAGCGUCAAUAUUGUUUACCUAAAGCAUGAUCAGUGCCAAAAAAAAAAAAAAAAUUAGUAACUUAAUAAGUGAGAUAAACUCAUAAAUAUAACAAAAGGCAUAUUGAGACAGACCAAGCUUCUGAAGGUGAUUGAAUUGAUUGUUUCAAGUAUAUCUUGAACUUAAGUGGGUCCCAUAAAUUUUAAAAUCGUUGUUUGAAUAUAUGUGGAAAGCUUGCUUUAAAUGAAAAGGCAAGAUCCUAAUGGGACAACUUUUUGAUGAAAUUGCAACAGUUAUUAUGCGAUGGAGCGAUAGUGAAACGUAUUUGAAGAUCAAAGUUUUGACUCUUUUAAACUUGUUUGUCGAGUAAGACAUUGACAUGGUUAAAGAACUAACCAAAGCGUAAGUACCUUACAAAAUACUAAAAGCACGUUGGCUAAACUUAAAAAAGAAAGUAAAAGUAACAUUUAGCCUCUAAACAUGUUUGAAUAACCUACUUUUUUCUUACUUCCAAGUAAAAAAAAGUUACCUUUUGGAAGUAAGUCUUACCUUAGUGACAAAGUAAAUACUUAGUUAUUUCCAACUUAUACCACGAAUAGAAUUAUUUAUUUUGAAAUUUAUUCACUUAUAAGAAAAUUUUAGUCUAAGAGCCUGUUUGGUUAGGAUUAAAAUAUGAUUUUAAUAUAAGUCAAAGUUAAAUAUUAACCACAUUUUUCAUUGGUCUCACAAUUUUUCAACAACACAUUUCAAAAACUUCUAUCGCAAUCUACUAAAAAAUCUAAUUUUAAUCCCCACCAAACAUCCUCUAAGUCAGCUUUUUAAUUAUCAGAUAGACGUGCAAUUAAAACCAUACCACAUGCAACAAUAAAGCAACUUCUGUCUAGUACAUCAUUCUACAAUUAAUGGGAGAUACAAUGCCAAACUAUUAAAGAAGACAGGUCAUAACAGAACUUAACACUGGAAUCCGAAAAACUAUAUAGUAGCAUAACUGGCUCAGGAUGAAUUAUAGAAAUGUUUUAAGGACAGGUGUUAGUGCAAAUUCAUUAAAUCUUCGAAUUUGAGAUAUCCAAACAUAAUAAAAGCAUUUUUUCCGAACAAUUUUCAUUGAUACAAUGGGGUAACAUAGUUCUUCGUAACAUAAAGUGUUAACAUGCACAAUGAAAUAUUCCUAAGUAUUUAAACGCCAAAUGCCGAUGUAAACAUCUUCUCUAGCGAUUGGUUAAAAGAUUUAUUGCACACACAUCCCAGCACGUGUCAAAAAAAAGCAUCAUAUAUAUACAAAAAAGAAUCCUAAUAACUGCAAGGAUAGUUAUAAAUGGAGUAAAGAGAUCCUAACUUUCUGUUUUUUUUCCAUUCUACUUGGUGGAAAUGUCAUGAACAGGGGGAAUUGCAAAUGAGGAACACAAAGCGGAAAAGGAAAGGGGUGUGCUUUAAAAAAGAUGUAAGAGCAUAGAAAUUUACAUGCAACGCAGACAUUGACUGAGUAACACGUAAGAGCUUCUGCCAGAUGACAGGAUUGUUCAACAAUAUUAAACUGAAUGUUAAAAGUUAAAACUUUAAAUUCUACCUGCAUGUUGAAACCAAAUCCAGAUUCAUUGUGCAGAUACAUCUAAUUUCAGUUGCGAGGAUAAAAAAAUGUAUAAAAAAACUGAGAAGAAAGAUUUUGUUACAUUUUCAUUUUUAUCAAUAGAAUGAAUGUUUUAAAAAAAAUAUGCAGAAAAUUUAAACCUCAUAACAUCCAGUCUCAUUACAGAUCAUCUAAUAUGAGUUGUGAGAAUAAAUAUUGUGUAGCACAAUACAUUAAAGAGAAAAACUAAGCGAAGAGUUUUACCUUUUGCAAUUGAGAGCAUGAACAUUCAAAAGAAAAUAUUCACAAAAUUAACUAAGAAUUAAUGACACAGGAUUAUCCUAUAGCAAAAUGAAGAAAUUACCUCAAUUGUCUUUCCAUUUGAUGCUGUAAUAACAUCUCCGGGUCUCAUACCUGUUCCACUUAUCAUAUUUUCACAAGCUGCAACAAUGAAAUGAACCUGCAUAAAUAUCACUCAUUACCAGGUUUUCCGAUCAAUCUCUAAAUAUGUUAACUGAGACAUGAUUAAUAGAUAUUUUAACUAACAGUACAGUGGGAUGAAACGAGAAUAAGACGACCAUAAUGUGAAAAUGAAUCGAGUCCAUAACCAGCACGUCGUUCUUGAAACAAUAACAAGAAAAAGAAAUGAGUCACCUCUACUCCAGCUGGCUUAAUUUGACCAAGAGCCUUUGCUGCACCCAAUAUGGCUACUGAACCUCCCAUGUCUAAUUUCAUGAGCUCAAUGGAACAACCUGGUCCUGUCUUGAUAUUGUAGCCACCACAGGAACAUAAAAGAGGAAAAUUUCAGAAGAUUUUGCACUACUGAGGACCCCCAUGAAACGAAAUAAAUAUAUUUCAUUUCAACCAGAUUUCAGAAGGCAUCCCUUAAAAUGUAAGUAUUUGGUAAUACAUAUUUAUUCACCUGUCAAACGUCAACCCCUUUCCAACUAAGGCCAGCUUGGUUUUGACUGCUCCCCAUGGAGGCCUGUAACAUAAGUGGAUAAAAUGAGGAGGAUUAGCAGAUGCUGCUGCAACACCAAGAUAAGAACCCAUUUUUAAUUCUUCGCACUGCUCUACAUCCAAGAUGGUUGCAGAAAGAACAUCACUGUGCUCAGAAGCAAUCCUUUUGGCCUCUUCUGCCUAACAUAUCCAAUUAACCAAAUUAACAAGAUAACGCAUAUUUUACCCCGUGAAGAGACUGAGGCAAUAAAGAAAUGUACAAUUUAAAAGGUCAUAGGAAAAAUGAUCCCACCUUGAUUAUACCCAAACAACUUUCCGCGAUAAUUACUCUUUCACUAGUAACGUAAAGUAAUCAAAAAAAGAAAUAGGACAAUAAGAAAGAUAACUAACCAGGGGUGAGUACAUUAGCAGAUGCAUUUACUAGCUCUUUUCCAAAAAUUAUCCCAGAACAAAUCUCUUCUGCAUAUUUGAGUUUCUUUUCUAUUUCACAUCCAGUGCCAAGACCAAGAAUAUCCACUGAUUUGAGACCCUGUUUCUUCGACUCUGCUUGAAUCUGUUGUCUUCAUAAGUCCCCAGUACAGCUCCUUUGGCAUUUGAGAAAUUCCCCCAAUAUUAAUUUAAUGAAGUAGCAACAAACUGAUGUUGUGGUCAAAUGAAAAAGAAGUAAUCUAAGAAAAGUACCAGUAGCUAUGGCUGAAGCAAAGCUUAGCUUUGAUUCUGUAGUAAGCUCUCCAGAAGCAGCAAGUGUGAUGGCAACAUUACUUGCCUGAGGAGACUUAGCUGCUGCAGAAACAGCCUCACCAAGACUGCGAUAUGCAUCAGUUGCUGAUGUCGCUGAUCCAAGACUAAUUAGACAUACCGUUUUCAAUCCAAGAUUGGGCAGCCUAAGAACAGUUGACUGUCCAGCCUUUCCAGUAAAAUCCUCCUCUGAUGAUGCUUCAGACAACAAACCACCUAAUUGAGAAUCUAGCUUUUGCAGGAUUAAACUCUUGAACUUUAAAUUCUCAUCCUUGGUCAUGUCCGUCUCUGUUGUGCCUACUGCAAGUAUGUCGCCUUUCCAUUCUAACAAAUCAAUCUCUUUUGCCGCAAAUGAAAUCUUCAAUCAUUCAAUAAUACAGGUCAAAUUUAGAGAUGGUGCAAUCACUAAUCCCCCCAAAAUUAAACACACAUAAAGCUGCACUUACAGGCAUAUAAACACAUACCUAUAUGUAAGUAUACAUAAGUAUAUGUAUGCAAAUACAUAAACAAAACACAGACAUUGACAAGCAUCUGUCAUGUGCACGAGCACUUGGGUGAAUGAUGCUUACAAACAGAAAUAAUUCGUCCUUGAGAUUGUACCAAGGGAUAGACAUGGAACAUACAAGACACAAAUACCUCCAAGAAAAAUGACAAUAAUUUUAAAGAAGAACGCGGCUGAAAUAUUCGACUUCUUUCAGAUUGUAUCUACAAAAAAAUAGUGAAACAUUGAAAAAUAUCACUCCGUAUCAUCAUACCCCCUCUGUAUUAAUGCACAUUUAGGAACCUAAUAAUAUAAACGUCACAUACAAACUUUAAUUCAAAGAAUCAAUCAAGAUUGAAAAACUCGAGACUCUGCAUUUGCGUGAACAAAGAUAAACCCAUUAAAUCUUAGUAAAAUUCGGUUCACUCCAGGAAGCCAUUGAUUUCAGCAUAAAUCCAGAUGAACUCUGAAGAUUAUCUUAAUCUUAAGCAAAACAAAUACUAUCAACACAAUGAAAAUAAAGUGUUCAAUUACAUGAUUACUUGACAGUAAAAGAAUACCUUUGGUACGAUUUGGUUAGGUCAUGUGAGGCCAAGAGUGGCUUUCGCAAUUGAGUGAGCCAUUCGCUUUGCCCUUCUGGAAGAGGGGUGAGAAUGUAAUGGAGAAAUCCUAGAUUGGUCCAAAUCGCAAAUUCGUGUAUAUCGAGGGGCAAGGAUUAUAGUAACAAGAACAUGAAGUCAAAGCUUGUUUGGUGAGAAAAGAUAUUCCUCCAAUGGCAGCCAUUUGUAACAUUUAGGGCCUGUUUGAUUCGUUCCACCUUUUUCUAAUUUUGUGUCUUUGGUACUUUUUAAUUUCCAUAAAAUUCCAUUUUCUUGCUUGUCUUGAGAAAUGGUAUUUCUUGAUUUUUAAGGAAAACCAAUUGAUUUUCCAACUUUAAUUGGCAAUUUUCAUGCAAAACAAAGCCAAACGAAUAUUAAAAAAUAGAUGAUUUUCUUGAUUUUUUUUUUUUUUGCAAUGAAAAUAAAUUUCAUUCCCAAUAUCAGUAAAAUUUAUUUCUUUAAUUGACAAUUUUCAUGUAAAACAAAGCCAAACGAACACCAAAAAUUACUUUUAUUUCAAUAUUUUUCACGUGAAAAAUUAUACCAAUCAAAUACAAUAAUUUACAAUUUUCAAAAAAAAAAAAACAGUCGAACCGCCAUUGUCACUUUUUCCAAAAAUAAAUCUUAACAAUUUCUAAAAACAAACGAUACCGAUCUCCAAAUGGUAAAUCCAAGCAGGCCCAAAUGCAAUAAACGAUCAAGAUCCAGAGAUAUAUUAGUUUUCCGACAAACUAAUCAAACACGAACCUUGUUGGGUGCAAAGAAUCAUUGGAGAGUAACUGGUGAUGACUGUUACACACAAAUCCUUCCUUUUAUCCCAUGAAUUUGGGCUGCCUUCUACCUGAUCUUCAAGAAGAUUAAAGGUCAUUACCGUCAAAGAAACGCUCAUUUUUCUUAAUUCUUUAUUUCCCUUUCCAUGUAAUAUGUAAAAAAACCCGCGUAUUGAAGAAGAAAACAGCGCAAGAUGAAGUGGGACUUUCCUCUUUGCAAAACUUGGGAUUCGAAGGUGAGUCAAAAAGCCCAGUAAAAAAGCUCUGAGAUACGGAGGAAUAGGAAUCAAAAGAUGGGUAAAUCCCGAAAAAUUCUGACUCAUGUCGUUUUGUGUUCUUGUCAAUCUUUCAUUAUACAAGACUGUCAAAAUUUGAAAUAAUACGCCUCAAUAAUUUUGACCAUUAUUUUCGUAUUUAUAGUAUUGUACAAAAAAAAGAGUAGAAAAGGCCAAGAGCCAAAUCCUCAAGUUAUUCUACAAUAGCAUUCAAGCGUUUUUUAUCUUAAGUUGAUCGUAAACAAAAUGCAUAAUCAAUCUUCAUCAAUAGAUCUUACGAGUCAAUUUUAUAAAGUUCAAUUCUACUUUCAAUUUGUUUAGUACACAAAAACUUGCAAUGAUGAACACUUUAACGAGAGACACACAAUAAUUUUAUGAAGUUUGAGGCAGAGCACAAUGUAGUAUUGAUUGUGUUGUAUGCCACCGUAAUGAAAAAAAAAACAAGGAUUAGCUGAAGAUCGAGAUCUUACUAUUGGAGUAAUAAAUUAAAGCCCACGGUGCAAUUUUCCCUAUUUGAUGCUAUACCUAUAAAUUGUUAAAUUGUGAAAGAAUUCUUAUGAUUUUUUAAAUUUUAAAUUUUAAUUUUAAUUUUGGGUUGCCUAUGACUUUUUCAUCAUUAAUUUUAGCACAAAAUUUUAAAUUAAAUAUCAAUUUAAAGUAUACGUCGAUCUGUAUUCAUUUCCUCCAGGGAUGUGGUAAAAUAUUGAAAUUAAUCUCCUGCCUUAGUGGAUAGAAUAAAAAUUUGCUACAGUCAUAACUAAGAUUCUAUUGUCACAUUAGCAUUGAAAUUUUUUUAUCCUGCCCGAGAUCAAGCCUUGGUAAGCUAUGCUGGGGUAAACCAUGCUGAGGAAAGUUCGAGAACAAUCUGCGUUCAUUUUACAUCACAUUUUGCAUGCAGAAACAUGGGAUAUUUUCAUUUUCUCAGGAACAAGAUGAUAGGGCCAAAAAUAAAAGAAACUUCUCAUAAUAUAAAGGAACAGUAACAAGAGUUCACGACUCCAGAACGCAGCAACGGCCUCGUUUUCUUCUCUAACCAUCUUUAUUAGUAUAACUCGACACCCCAGCCAUCGAACAACCUGAAUAAGAAUUUUCCAUUUUUUCUUGAAUCGACUUCAGAUAUAAGGUAUUUGUCCUCUGAGCAGCCCCACGGACACCCAAACUAAGAAGAAUUCUUUAGAACCCAUGUAACCAGUGUUGAAAUACCAAAACCAGUUGCAAUUUUCUUCUUAUCAUUCCAAACCGGGCCAGCCAUGUCAAUGUGCAUCCACUGGACCUUCUCAUAAACAAACUGCAUGUACGGAGUUACAUGUCAGGUGCCUUCACUGAGACAGACUAGGGAACAACUUAUAGUCUCAAACACGUGCUUUCGUUUCUUAAUCUAUUAUUAGUCGGAGCUCAUUUGGGUUUCACUUUAUUAGGGCCCCCCACCCCACAAACACAAAGCGUUGUAAGGUAUACAUUUAGAGAACUUUUAGAACAUCUUUGGUACGCAAUACAAUAGACUAGAUUUAACAUUUUUUUCUUCCUUAAUAGUGCCUAGUAUUGUAUAGUCCACCUUACAAACAAAUUCUUAUGGUAUACAGCAUUUAUAGAGGCUAGAACUGGGAUAACUUUGGAAUAUAACACGUAUUGUCUAAUAAAUUUUUCUAAGAAAUUCGGAAGAAAAUCUGUUUUCAUGAAGUGCAGAGGUUCAAAUUCAUGAAAUAAAAAUGCAGAAUUUAGUAGAAAACUAGGGGAAGGGAAAAAUGUAAUUUAAGGAAAGACAAGAAGAGAAUCUAUGCAAUCAUAUCUAGACCUUCAGAUGAACUAAAAUGUCCAAUGAUCCAUAAAAAAUUUCCUUAUCCCCAAGAACAGAUCCAGUAGACAUGGAGAGGGGGCGAUUCUUUCACCAUUUGGAGUGUUAGUUUGCCAACUAAAAAAAUCACCUGCCUCAAUUGGUCAAAUUUGCAAACAUCUCCAAAUGAGUAUCAGUUGUUGCGACACUUAAGUAACCCACGCCCAUGCACAAACUAAACUCCCACUAAUGACCCAUGCAUCUUCAACUCAUGAACAUAGCUGAUAUUAAGCUACAUGGCAGCACCCAAUUUUUCCAUAUUCAAUCAAGUGAUUUCCUCUGAUUAAAAGGAACAUAACAAGAUUUUUUUAUUUUAUUAUUUUUUGCCAUCAGAAAAAGAAGCCCAUUGGUUAAAUUUUGAAAUUCUUUUCGGAAUAGCCAAUAUUCUAGAUUUGAAAUCGACUUGCUAUAAGAAUUGUUCAAAACUACAACUUAGGCAAUUAUCGUAACAACUAAAAUGGAGGAUGCUCCAGAAUCUUUUCGAUUGCUUGUUCGAGAAUUGCAAUUCCAUAGUUCUUUUUCAAAUUGUAUGUAAAAAGCUUAAAACGUAAAACAAACUUAAUCUUCAGCAUGGAAUAAGGGGUGCGGAGGAA